rnacentral:misc_RNA from 1 species
GAAUUUCGAAUUAGACGAUAUCGGAUACACAAAAAAUUCAAAGAUUUUGAAAAAUGAGACCUAGAUUUAUGAACAUUUUUCGUUUGUGUAGUAGACUUAUUCCACAUAAACAGAUGCCACAUCUUGCCAGAGAACUCCCAUGUUAUGUUAAGAACAUUACAUUUAUUCAUCCAGCAGCACAUUUUUCAACAGGAUCAAUUUUACAGAAGUCUGUGAUAUUGUUUGCAGUGGUCAGAUGUCCGAGAUGGACUAUCACAUAGUGGCGGAUGAAACCAUGGACUCUCUUACCGAGGCAUUUGAAGAUAUUGGAGAUACUUUGCCAUGUGAUCCUGAAUAUGAUGCUCAGUACUCGAGUGGAGUACUGACUGUUAAAAUCAGCGAGAAAGAUGGUACAUAUGUAAUCAACAAGCAACCCAGUAACCUCCAGAUCUGGCUCUCCUCUCCCAUCAGUGGCCCAUUCCGCUAUGACUUUGAGGACGGAACAUGGGUCUACAAAAGAACAUCUCGGACUCUGCAUGAAUUAUUAUCGGAUGAAGUGUCCAAAGUCUUCAAUACUCCAAUUGACUUUACCAAGUGUUCUUAUGGAUCUCGAAGGAAGAGCUAGCUGCAAUCAAGGACGAACUGCAAACAUUUACAAUAUUGUUUUUUUAUUGUUAUGACUCAGAUAAAAUAUGAUGGAAUCAAACGU